GUAAGUGACCACUAAAGCACUAUAUCCCUUUAAAUAAUUUUAGAGCAUCAGAGCAUGUCACGUGUUUCGGUAGCCUAGGUGACUAAUAGGUUAAUCAGGCUAGCAGGAGCGAAGAGAACACACGUUGCUGUGCGAUUUACGGAAAAAGGAGGCUUAAUCCUGCACAAUUUAUUUAAUAGAACCCUUUGGGAAAGCGGAGCGAGUUUCACGGUGCUACGCAACGAAAGUUUAAUGGCUCUCGUCUUGAGCAUAAUAAAGAAUCAAGCACCCGUCA